CGAAUUGGACAUGUGUAUUGGGUAGUGUCGCGACUUAUUUCCCCGAGGAGGUAUUUCUCGCACACACCUGGAAGUCACAAUGUCAUCCGUGAAGGGAGUCGGCUCUUUUAUUUUUGUGUUUUUUGAAGCGAAUUAUCCUGUUGCCGAGGGAGCCAUGCAUCUAGAAACGGCUGGGGAAGGAGACGGUGGCUGAGUGGUUAGCGUGCCGGUCCUGCGUUCGCUGCGUCAUAGAUGAUGAGGGUUUGAAUCCACCGCUGCCACAGACUACUUGUCCUGAAGCCCACCACCAUCAUCCUGGACUGUAUGGGACUGUCCAAGGGAAAGCUAGAUGGGGCCGCUAUAAACACUUGCCGGCUUGGGCCCACCACCAGGCCCAGCCAAGGGAGGUUGGUGUAGCAGUGCCGGGAGGUUCCAUAACACAGGGCACUCCUCACCUCAACAACAGUCUCUUCACCGACAAGUAAUUCUUCACCAACAAGCUUUUCAGCAGCUUGGAGAAAUAGACUGUACUGUUCUGGAUAUAUAUAGGAGAAGAGGGCGAGAGGAGCCCAGUCCCAGUCAUAGUAAGCUAGUGGUAAGUGAAGAGUCAGAGUGAAGUGUACUACUAAGGAAGAAUAUUAAACUACAGAAGCUGUGCAAAGUGUUUACAUAUCUCCCUCCCACGGAGUCUCCUGACGGCGACACGGAACCCAAGUAACACGUCCGGCAUAACAAUAAUAAUAAUAAUAAUAAUAAUAAUAAUAAUAAUAAGUUAUAGAAAUAAUAAUAAUAAUUAA